GUGAUGACGAGGAAGGAGGUGUAAUCGGCUGCUCACUGUUCCUCUGGCAUCCAUCCGUUUGAGGGACAUCAAAAUUUGUUUAUUGUACCCUAUUGUAUCAGGUUUGAACCAUGAUGAGAUAUUCCAAGUUAUCCAGAAGAUACGGCAGUACAAUAGGGGAUCGACACAUGGCUCACAUGGUAUCAGACUUUGCAUUUCUUUAGGACAUGUUCAUCUUUAUCUCUCUUGGAAUCAGAAAAA